rnacentral:rRNA from 1 species
UUUGAUUAUGGCUCAGGACGAACGCUGGCGGCGUGCCUAAUACAUGCAAGUAGAACGCUGAAGAGAGGAGCUUGCUCUUCUUGGAUGAGUUUGCGAACGGGUGAGUAACGCGUAGGUAACCUGCCUUGUAGCGGGGGAUAACUAUUGGAAACGAUAGCUAAUACCGCAUAACAAUAGGUGACACAUGUCAUUUAUUUGAAAGGGGCAAUUGCUCCACUACAAGAUGGACCUGCGUUGUAUUAGCUAGUAGGUGAGGUAACGGCUCACCUAGGCGACGAUACAUAGCCGACCUGAGAGGGUGAUCGGCCACACUGGGACUGAGACACGGCCCAGACUCCUACGGGAGGCAGCAGUAGGGAAUCUUCGGCAAUGGGGGCAACCCUGACCGAGCAACGCCGCGUGAGUGAAGAAGGUUUUCGGAUCGUAAAGCUCUGUUGUAAGUCAAGAACGAGUGUGAGAGUGGAAAGUUCACACUGUGACGGUAGCUUACCAGAAAGGGACGGCUAACUACGUGCCAGCAGCCGCGGUAAUACGUAGGUCCCGAGCGUUGUCCGGAUUUAUUGGGCGUAAAGCGAGCGCAGGCGGUUUGAUAAGUCUGAAGUUAAAGGCUGUGGCUCAACCAUAGUUCGCUUUGGAAACUGUCAAACUUGAGUGCAGAAGGGGAGAGUGGAAUUCCAUGUGUAGCGGUGAAAUGCGUAGAUAUAUGGAGGAACACCGGUGGCGAAAGCGGCUCUCUGGUCUGUAACUGACGCUGAGGCUCGAAAGCGUGGGGAGCGAACAGGAUUAGAUACCCUGGUAGUCCACGCCGUAAACGAUGAGUGCUAGGUGUUGGAUCCUUUCCGGGAUUCAGUGCCGCAGCUAACGCAUUAAGCACUCCGCCUGGGGAGUACGACCGCAAGGUUGAAACUCAAAGGAAUUGACGGGGGCCCGCACAAGCGGUGGAGCAUGUGGUUUAAUUCGAAGCAACGCGAAGAACCUUACCAGGUCUUGACAUCCCGAUGCUAUUUCUAGAGAUAGAAAGUUACUUCGGUACAUCGGUGACAGGUGGUGCAUGGUUGUCGUCAGCUCGUGUCGUGAGAUGUUGGGUUAAGUCCCGCAACGAGCGCAACCCCUAUUGUUAGUUGCCAUCAUUCAGUUGGGCACUCUAGCGAGACUGCCGGUAAUAAACCGGAGGAAGGUGGGGAUGACGUCAAAUCAUCAUGCCCCUUAUGACCUGGGCUACACACGUGCUACAAUGGUUGGUACAACGAGUUGCGAGUCGGUGACGGCAAGCUAAUCUCUUAAAGCCAAUCUCAGUUCGGAUUGUAGGCUGCAACUCGCCUUCAUGAAGUCGGAAUCGCUAGUAAUCGCGGAUCAGCACGCCGCGGUGAAUACGUUCCCGGGCCUUGUACACACCGCCCGUC